UACGUAGGGUGCAAGCGUUACUCGGAAUUACUGGGCGUAAAGCGUGCGCAGGCGGCUUUGCAAGACAGAUGUGAAAUCCCCGGGCUAACCUGGGAACUGCAUUUGUGACUGCAUGGCUGGAGUGCGGCAGAGGGGGAUGGAAUUCCGCGUGUAGCAGUGAAAUGCGUAGAUAUGCGGAGGAACACCGGUGGCGAAGGCGGCAUCCUGGACCGGCAUUGACGCUGAGGCGCGAAAGCUAGGGGAGCAAACGGG
rnacentral:rRNA from 1 species